rnacentral:rRNA from 1 species
AUUGAACGCUGGCGGCAUGCUUUACACAUGCAAGUCGAACGGUAACAGGCCGCAAGGUGCUGACGAGUGGCGAACGGGUGAGUAAUGCAUCGGAACGUGCCCAGUCGUGGGGGAUAACGCAGCGAAAGCUGUGCUAAUACCGCAUACGAUCUAUGGAUGAAAGCGGGGGACCGUAAGGCCUCGCGCGAUUGGAGCGGCCGAUGUCAGAUUAGGUAGUUGGUGGGGUAAAGGCCCACCAAGCCAACGAUCUGUAGCUGGUCUGAGAGGACGACCAGCCACACUGGGACUGAGACACGGCACAGACUCCUACGGGAGGCAGCAGUGGGGAAUUUUGGACAAUGGGAGCAAGCCUGAUUCAGCAAUGCCGCGUGCAGGAAGAAGGCCUUCGGGUUGUAAACUGCUUUUGUACGGAACGAAACGGUCUGGGUUAAUACCUCGGGCUAAUGACGGUACCGUAAGAAUAAGCACCGGCUAACUACGUGCCAGCAGCCGCAGUAACAC